GCUGGGUGUGGUGGCACGUGCCUGUAAUCCCUGCUGAAUGGGGAGGCUGAAAUUGAUAGAUCACUUGAGCUUGCAAAUUUUGAAUUGUAGUAGGGCUAAAGUCAGUUAGGUGUCUGCACCGAAUCCAGCACCAAUAUGAUGAGUCUCCGGGAGUGAGGGACCCAACAGGCUGCCUAAAGAGAGGCAAAUGAACCCAGGUUGGAAAAGUUCAAAGCUUCUGUGCUGAUCAGCAGUGGAAUCUGGCCUGUGAGUUGGCACUGUACCUUCAGUCUGGGCAAGAUAGGGAGAC
rnacentral:SRP_RNA from 1 species